UACAGAGGGUGCGAGCGUUGUCCGGAAUCACUGGGCGUAAAGGGCGCGUAGGUGGCUGUGUAAGUCGGGGGUGAAAUGCUGCGGCUCAACCGCAGCGCUGCCUCCGAGACUGCACGGCUUGAGCACGGUAGAGGCAGGUGGAAUUCCCGGUGUAGCGGUGGAAUGCGUAGAGAUCGGGAAGAACAUCAGUGGCGAAGGCGGCCUGCUGGGCUGUUGCUGACGCUGAGGCGCGACAGCGUGGGGAGCAAACAGG
rnacentral:rRNA from 1 species